rnacentral:rRNA from 2 species
UUAAGCGACUAAGCGUACACGGUGGAUGCCCUGGCAGUCAGAGGCGAUGAAGGACGUGCUAAUCUGCGAUAAGCGUCGGUAAGGUGAUAUGAACCGUUAUAACCGGCGAUUUCCGAAUGGGGAAACCCAGUGUGUUUCGACACACUAUCAUUAACUGAAUCCAUAGGUUAAUGAGGCGAACCGGGGGAACUGAAACAUCUAAGUACCCCGAGGAAAAGAAAUCAACCGAGAUUCCCCCAGUAGCGGCGAGCGAACGGGGAGCAGCCCAGAGCCUGAAUCAGUGUGUGUGUUAGUGGAAGCGUCUGGAAAGGCGCGCGAUACAGGGUGACAGCCCCGUACACAAAAAUGCACAUAUUGUGAGCUCGAUGAGUAGGGCGGGACACGUGGUAUCCUGUCUGAAUAUGGGGGGACCAUCCUCCAAGGCUAAAUACUCCUGACUGACCGAUAGUGAACCAGUACCGUGAGGGAAAGGCGAAAAGAACCCCGGCGAGGGGAGUGAAAAAGAACCUGAAACCGUGUACGUACAAGCAGUGGGAGCACGCUUAGGCGUGUGACUGCGUACCUUUUGUAUAAUGGGUCAGCGACUUAUAUUCUGUAGCAAGGUUAACCGAAUAGGGGAGCCGAAGGGAAACCGAGUCUUAACUGGGCGUUAAGUUGCAGGGUAUAGACCCGAAACCCGGUGAUCUAGCCAUGGGCAGGUUGAAGGUUGGGUAACACUAACUGGAGGACCGAACCGACUAAUGUUGAAAAAUUAGCGGAUGACUUGUGGCUGGGGGUGAAAGGCCAAUCAAACCGGGAGAUAGCUGGUUCUCCCCGAAAGCUAUUUAGGUAGCGCCUCGUGAAUUCAUCUCCGGGGGUAGAGCACUGUUUCGGCAAGGGGGUCAUCCCGACUUACCAACCCGAUGCAAACUGCGAAUACCGGAGAAUGUUAUCACGGGAGACACACGGCGGGUGCUAACGUCCGUCGUGAAGAGGGAAACAACCCAGACCGCCAGCUAAGGUCCCAAAGUCAUGGUUAAGUGGGAAACGAUGUGGGAAGGCCCAGACAGCCAGGAUGUUGGCUUAGAAGCAGCCAUCAUUUAAAGAAAGCGUAAUAGCUCACUGGUCGAGUCGGCCUGCGCGGAAGAUGUAACGGGGCUAAACCAUGCACCGAAGCUGCGGCAGCGACGCUUAUGCGUUGUUGGGUAGGGGAGCGUUCUGUAAGCCUGUGAAGGUGUGCUGUGAGGCAUGCUGGAGGUAUCAGAAGUGCGAAUGCUGACAUAAGUAACGAUAAAGCGGGUGAAAAGCCCGCUCGCCGGAAGACCAAGGGUUCCUGUCCAACGUUAAUCGGGGCAGGGUGAGUCGACCCCUAAGGCGAGGCCGAAAGGCGUAGUCGAUGGGAAACAGGUUAAUAUUCCUGUACUUGGUGUUACUGCGAAGGGGGGACGGAGAAGGCUAUGUUGGCCGGGCGACGGUUGUCCCGGUUUAAGCGUGUAGGCUGGUUUUCCAGGCAAAUCCGGAAAAUCAAGGCUGAGGCGUGAUGACGAGGCACUACGGUGCUGAAGCAACAAAUGCCCUGCUUCCAGGAAAAGCCUCUAAGCAUCAGGUAACAUCAAAUCGUACCCCAAACCGACACAGGUGGUCAGGUAGAGAAUACCAAGGCGCUUGAGAGAACUCGGGUGAAGGAACUAGGCAAAAUGGUGCCGUAACUUCGGGAGAAGGCACGCUGAUAUGUAGGUGAAGUCCCUCGCGGAUGGAGCUGAAAUCAGUCGAAGAUACCAGCUGGCUGCAACUGUUUAUUAAAAACACAGCACUGUGCAAACACGAAAGUGGACGUAUACGGUGUGACGCCUGCCCGGUGCCGGAAGGUUAAUUGAUGGGGUUAGCCGCAAGGCGAAGCUCUUGAUCGAAGCCCCGGUAAACGGCGGCCGUAACUAUAACGGUCCUAAGGUAGCGAAAUUCCUUGUCGGGUAAGUUCCGACCUGCACGAAUGGCGUAAUGAUGGCCAGGCUGUCUCCACCCGAGACUCAGUGAAAUUGAACUCGCUGUGAAGAUGCAGUGUACCCGCGGCAAGACGGAAAGACCCCGUGAACCUUUACUAUAGCUUGACACUGAACAUUGAGCCUUGAUGUGUAGGAUAGGUGGGAGGCUUAGAAGUGUGGACGCCAGUCUGCAUGGAGCCGACCUUGAAAUACCACCCUUUAAUGUUUGAUGUUCUAACGUUGACCCGUAAUCCGGGUUGCGGACAGUGUCUGGUGGGUAGUUUGACUGGGGCGGUCUCCUCCUAAAGAGUAACGGAGGAGCACGAAGGUUGGCUAAUCCUGGUCGGACAUCAGGAGGUUAGUGCAAUGGCAUAAGCCAGCUUGACUGCGAGCGUGACGGCGCGAGCAGGUGCGAAAGCAGGUCAUAGUGAUCCGGUGGUUCUGAAUGGAAGGGCCAUCGCUCAACGGAUAAAAGGUACUCCGGGGAUAACAGGCUGAUACCGCCCAAGAGUUCAUAUCGACGGCGGUGUUUGGCACCUCGAUGUCGGCUCAUCACAUCCUGGGGCUGAAGUAGGUCCCAAGGGUAUGGCUGUUCGCCAUUUAAAGUGGUACGCGAGCUGGGUUUAGAACGUCGUGAGACAGUUCGGUCCCUAUCUGCCGUGGGCGCUGGAGAACUGAGGGGGGCUGCUCCUAGUACGAGAGGACCGGAGUGGACGCAUCACUGGUGUUCGGGUUGUCAUGCCAAUGGCACUGCCCGGUAGCUAAAUGCGGAAGAGAUAAGUGCUGAAAGCAUCUAAGCACGAAACUUGCCCCGAGAUGAGUUCUCCCUGACUCCUUGAGAGUCCUGAAGGAACGUUGAAGACGACGACGUUGAUAGGCCGGGUGUGUAAGCGCAGCGAUGCGUUGAGCUAACCGGUACUAAUGAACCGUGAGGCUUAACCUU